rnacentral:rRNA from 1 species
UACGGGGGAUGCAAGCGUUAUCCGGAUUUAUUGGGUUUAAAGGGUGCGUAGGCUGUGAGGUAAGUCAGCGGUGAAAUGCCCCCGCUCAACGGGGUGAAGUGCCAUUGAUACUGCCUUGCUGGAAUGCGGAUGCCGUGGGAGGAAUGUGCGGUGUAGCGGUGAAAUGCAUAGAUAUCACACAGAACACCGAUUGCGAAGGCAUCUCACGAAUCCGCGAUUGACGCUGAUGCACGAAAGCGUGGGUAUCAAACAGG